rnacentral:rRNA from 1 species
UAGUCCACGCCGUAAACGAUGUCUACUAGCUGUUUGUGAUCUUGUAUCGUGAGUAGCGCAGCUAACGCACUAAGUAGACCGCCUGGGGAGUACGGCCGCAAGGUUAAAACUCAAGUGAAUUGACGGGGGCCCGCACAAGCGGUGGAGCAUGUGGUUUAAUUCGAUGCAACGCGAAGAACCUUACCAUCCCUUGACAUCCAGAGAAUCACCAAGAGAUUGAUGAGUGCCUUUGGGAACUCUGAGACAGGUGCUGCAUGGCUGUCGUCAGCUCGUGUUGUGAAAUGUUGGGUUAAGUCCCGCAACGAGCGCAACCCUUAUCCUUAGUUGCCAGCGUGUAAUGGCGGGAACUCUAAGGAGACUGCCGGUGACAAACCGGGAGGAAGGUGGGGGACGACGGUCAAGUCAUCAUGGCCCUUACGCCCAGGGGCUACACACGUGCUACAAUGGAGGGUACAACGGGUAG